AUACGACCAUAUCAAGAUGAAACGUCAGUUCUCGUCCAACCACCAAAGUUAAGCAACAUCAAGCCUGGUCAGUACUUAGAUGAGUGACCACUUGAGAAUCCCAAGCGCUGUAAG